GCAUGUCAACGAAAAUCCAAAUUGAACAGAUGUGGAAUUUCAAUUCAACACCAUCACCCCCUCCUCGACUGAUUCACCAUAUAUUUGGGUAUCGUAAAAACAUAUCUAAACUGCGCAAAUGUUGCGACGUACCAAGCGACCAUCUAAACCGCCUUACGCUAGACCAUCACAACAUCCAGCUCUUCGGUCAUUGCCCACACAGAAUCUGACCCCUGCUAUUCCAACCCGGAUUCAGCCCCGUCCGACAUCAAGUCAACCCCAAGAGGAGUAUCAGAUGAGCAUAUAGGACACAGCUAUCAUUUAAUCACAAGGUAGUCUCCCAGCCUAAUCGCGGAAACCACCGCACCCAAACAGCCACCGGCGACACCCUUCAUAACAGGUGAAAAUCCCCUUUCUUAUCGCACAGCAUGUUUAUAAUUUUCGUAAUUUUAUUUCAUAUUAUUGAUGUUUUGCUAGCAUUGUUUUAUAUUACCUCCCUUAAUGCUAUGGUAAUUUCCAUUUACUACUUUAAUAACACGCUGUAUCAAUUUUAUUGUGUGCAGUGCUUAAUGGUUAUUUAUUAUAAUAAAAUUAUUAUGCCCCCCCCCCUUUCAAGGAAGAGGGGCAUUUAUUAGUUUGCACCUGAUGGUUGGCAGACUACGUGUUGCCCCUCAAUAUCACCAAUUACUUCAUCGUAAUGAUAUUUCAUAUGGGAGUUGUUAACUUGGUUAUGAGUUGACGAGGACCCCUAUUGUUUUUAUGGUCAAGGGUCAAUCUUCUCUGGACAUAGGAAUACCUAGUCUGCUCAAUAUCUUGAGAACCCUUUGCUUGACAGACAUCAAACUUGGUACACUGGUACAUCCCAAAGAGUAGAUAACCCCUAUUGAUUUUGAGGUCACAUGGUCAAGGGUCAAACAGGACAUAGAAAUUAUAUACUGACCACUCAAUGUCUAGAGAACCCUUUGCUUGACAGACAUCAAACGUGGUACACUGGUACAUCAUCAGAAGAUGACCCCUCUUGAUUUUAAGUCACAUGGUUAAAGGCCAAGGGUCAAACUGGACAUAUGUAUAUAUUGACCACUUAAUGUCUAGAUAACCCUUUGCUUGACAGACAUCAAAUUUGGUACACUGGUGCAUCUUCAGGAGAUGACCCCCUUGAUUUUGAGGUCACAUGGUCAAAGGUCAAUGGUCAAACUGGACAUAGAAAUAUAUUGUCCAAUCAAUAUCUUGAGAACCCUUUGCUUGACAGACAUCAAAUUUGGUACAUCUUAAGGAGAUGACCCCUAUUGAUUUUGAGGUCACGUGGUCAAUGGUUUAAUUGUUUCCUAAUUUUAAGAAUUCUUCGCUUUGCUGACACCAAAUCUGGUACAGCAUAAGAAGUAGAUGACCCCCAUUGAGAUUUGGUGACUUGGUCAAUCCACUCCUGACAUUGGAAGAUAUUGUCUGCUCUAUUUCGAAUUGGUCAUACUACUAUCAAUCCAAUUAGGCACGUGUAUACCCGUUUUCAAUUUUGCAACAUGGGGGCAUAUACAUGUAUGUUUUACAAACACAUCUUGUUAUUACAAGCAUUACUGAUGAACUUGGGGCUCACGUUUCUCAAGCCAUUAAAGAUAAAAUUUGGGCAAAGCAUUAUGUCAAUUUAUCUUAACUCUUGAAUUCACAAUCACACAACAACCAUGAUACGCACAAAUUUUCAAUCAUACAAGGUCAAUUAGUUCUCGAACCCAUCAUCAAACAUAACAAAAUUCCCACGAUUCAUAACUCCAUAGAUAGAUUUUUGAUAUUCGCAAGUAUAUAUUUAGCUAGGCAUCCUUCUGACAUCCAGGGCAUCUAAAAAAUAUAUCCAUGCCAUUCGCAUAGCACAUGAUCGUAACUAAUUCUAACCGGCUCGAGUACGAUAGGUGUUCAGGCCAACAACAACAAAAUCCCUCAACCUCCUUUGGUUCCAUUGAUGCUGGGUUAUGGUUCAUGUAUAUAUGCAAUCCUAAGUUUCCUACCAGGUAACCCUUCAAAUUAGUGAAAAACCACAGACACAUUGGUACAUACACAUUGGUACAUUUAAAUAUUCAUUGUUUGAUUCAAAAUAUUCAGUGAAUUAUGGAUUCAUUGACCUCAAAUGUUGCGAUCAUCACUUUAAAGGACAAUGCCUUAAACCACACAGCAUCAACUUAUCAAAUGGGCAUAAACUCUCUUCAAACUUUCGUACCAAAUUUGAAUUCCAGCUAUAUUGGCCCCCACCAGUUCACCAGUGUAUCAACUAUAUUGCUUUCUUAAGUACCACCUAAGUAUCGUUUUCAACGGCUAGGUGCAUUAGUUAUAAAAUUCAGUUAGAGGGCGGUAUUGACAACACAAAACCUUCAUAGUAAGCUCAAUCCUACAGGGAUUCCAUAGGAUCAACCUAGUAAAACAUGCCCGUUUCCCUAUCACUCUUCGUAUAUCUAUCCUACCAAUAGUUUGUUUAAGUUCAUACGAAGCCGCCAUGUUUCCCACCGCAUUUCAGUUGGCAAUUUUUGCAUUGUUGCGGGUUGUUGCUAGUCAUGCCGCUCCUACACUAUUGUACAAUCACGUAUCAAUAGGCGAUGUACAUAUUUCGUUGUUUAUAACUGGCUCAAAACAUCAAUGCAAUAGGGGUUCUAUGUUGCACAUUUCACUCAACUCACGAGCAGAUUCAUUGUUCAAGCACAUGCACAAUUUUUUGUCCAUUAGACCAAUCACGUGGCCCAUUUUACUGCCACCUUAAUGCCAAACCGCUCACAAAAUAACAACUUGCAUCAUUAUUGCACAGGCCUAUUGAAUUCAUCGGUCUAGAUCCCCAACACGAAAUUCAGGCUAGAGGCAGAUGGAAAUGUGAAUCAUUUAAUGCCCAUAUCAGAGCCUAAAAAUUCAAAUUUUUAAGUAUACCUGCAAUAUUGUGCGUCCUAAUUCAAUACUACUGUCUGGAUCAUUGCCUCUUCCAUUAUUCAUUAUCCUGCCCGCCGUAUAUGGAUUUACUACAGCGUAUCUUUUUAGUGUGGUAAGAGUGGUAUGGUGCGGAAGGAGGUGGAGCCUAUUGUUGCACAAAGGGGCAAGCCUGAUAUUAUAUUAAUUAAUUGGGGAGGGGGGCCGUAUUGGUACAACGCCAUUGGCUAUAUUGCAAAAAAUUCUGAAAUUAACUAUUGCCAGGAUGCCUAUUUACAAACUUCUUCCACAAACUCGGUUCAUAUCGUCCCAGAUCCUCCCCUGGCGUUACUAUACACAUACGUUCUCAAUAUUGCAGCAGACAACGCACGUACGAGUAUUAUCAAAUCUUUAGCUCCAUUCGUAACAUCACACAAUGCCGAAUGCAUAAAAUACCUAGGUCUUCAACAAUGCUCUUCAAAUUUCACAGUAUGCAUUUUCUGAUAUUGCUCAGGUUAUGUUUUUAAACAGUAUCUGGGAUGGAUUGCGCAGCAUUGUCCAAAGAAACGAUAGAAUAUUUCCUUAACCUAACUACUAUUUGAUAAGCAGUCUCCCUGUCAUGGCUCGAGCAAAAUUUUGCCCUCUUGUGGCGGAUGUCUUCAUGUAUGUUAACAUUUCUUAAACAUACAUGAAGACAUAUGGUCGAAUUUUGCUAAGCCUGCCACAUAUUUUGUUUCAGUCCAGGUCCGUGGCCAAUAAUUGGGCUUAUUGACAUUGAAUGAUUGAUUGAUAUAUUGAUUGAUUGACACAUUGGUGGAUUGAAAUAUUGAUUGAUUGAAAAUAUUGAUUGAUUGACACAUUGGUGGAUUGAAAUAUUGAUUGAUUGAUUGAAAAUAUUGAAUGAAUUAUUGAUUGAUAUAUUGAUUGACUGACACGUUGGUGGAUUGAAAUAUUGAUUAAAAAUAUUGAAUGAAUUAUUGAUUGAUUGACACAUUAGUGGAUUGAAAUAUUGAUUGAUUGAUUGAUUGAAAAUAUUGAGUGAAUUAUUGAUUGAUUGACUCAAACAUGCAUGGACUAUUGAUGCUACAACAUUAUUAUCCAAAAGUCGUUGUAGAUCAUGCAUUUCAUUACAGAGUGUAUAUGAUAUACAUACUGAUGGUUUGUAUUGAUAUGAACAUUGUCGUUGAAUUGGAAAUGUUUUUAUUAAGUAAAGCCAUGACAAAGACUGCCAA